UGGUUUGUGGCCUGCGGCCUGUGUUGCGUUUGCUUGUUUUUUUAUUCUGUCUCUAGGUUCGCUAGCGUCUCUUCAUUAAGCUCGUGUGCGUUUCCCGUGUGGAUGGCGUGGUUUCUCAUAACGGACGGGUUUCUGGCGCGAAGUACGUGCGUGGCCUGACCUCGCUCGCGUCUGCCGAAGAAACUCGAGAUUGCGGCGUGCCCGGCUCACGAAACGUCGCGCGUCAGUAAACCGGGCUUUAUUUGCAUAAGAUUACAGAUGGGCUGAAUGGCCUGUUCUCCUCAUUAUGU